UCGACUCGGUAUCGAUGGCGACAUCAGGAAACUGGUGUACGGAGGCAGACUGACUAAUGUCAGCACGGCGCAAGCCGCAAACAGGUCAGAGACCUGGGGAGCCUCGCAAGAACUCAACAUUUCGCCGCCCCGAUGCACAGAUACCAGUCG
rnacentral:sRNA from 12 species